AGAUGUGAGUGCAAUCUGACUGAGACAUCUAUUACCCACUGAAUGCCAGAGUUGAUUCAGCUAAUCUGGCUGGCUAGGUGGGUGUCCCUUCCUCCCUCACUGCUCCAUGUGCUUCCCUCUCGAAGCUGGGUGCUUGGUUGAAGAGGACAACCAUCCCCACUAUAGGAGGACCAUUUUUCGGUCAAAGGUAUAGGAGUAGCUUUGCUCCCCUGCUAGAGCCUCCAAACAAACUCUCAAAGUAACCCACUCAGGCAAAAAUAAGGAAAAUGAAUAUCAAAAAUGAACAAAGCCUCCCAGAAAAAUGGGUUUAUGU
rnacentral:snRNA from 1 species